GCCAAUUAAUGAUUGGCACUGAACUGAGUUAUUACAAUUACAUAUUUAUACUAUAUAGACUGAAUAGAGUUGCACGAAAGUGAAGGUCCUGGAUGUUGUACAUAAUUUUAGUAUCUCGUUAUAAACUAAGCUUUGGUAUAUGUUGGGGUUUAGAUUCCUUGGUUCGCCCACUUAGGAGGUUAAGUGUGGGUGCCACUCACGACUCAUUUUGGGUCGUGACACAUUGUUUAGUGAUUUGAGUCUUUCUUAUCUGCAUAUUUUUCUUAAAAUUGUCAAUUAUCAAUUAUCAAUUAUCAAAUUAAUUGAUGAUAACUAUCAGAUCUUCUCAUCAAUGACAUAUUUAUCCAUAAUGAAAUGGUAAAUCAACAAUAUAUAUAGCUAUCAACGUUAAUAGAAAAAGAAACAGUAAGAUGGAAGCUACAUAUUUAACAGGUAAGUUAUAAGUUAUUUUCUCUUUUAUUAUUUUCUAUGAUUGGUCAUGAAAUUGUAUAUUUUUGGUUACUCAAUUUAUUUAUCAAGCAACACUCUUCACUAUUAUCCAGUAUGAAAUAUAGUAAAUAUUAGUAGAUAUCAUGAAGCUUUGCAGCUAUGAAUAACAGAUCUUUCUUAAUAUAUGCAUUUGUUGUUGUUGUUGUUGCUUAGUAAUAUUUUUG
rnacentral:lncRNA from 1 species